rnacentral:rRNA from 1 species
UGGGGAAUAUUGGACAAUGGGCGAAAGCCUGAUCCAGCCAUGCCGCGUGUGUGAAGAAGGUCUUCGGAUUGUAAAGCACUUUAAGUUGGGAGGAAGGGCAGUAAGCGAAUACCUUGCUGUUUUGACGUUACCGACAGAAUAAGCACCGGCUAACUCUGUGCCAGCAGCCGCGGUAAUACAGAGGGUGCAAGCGUUAAUCGGAAUUACUGGGCGUAAAGCGCGCGUAGGUGGUUCGUUAAGUUAAAUGUGAAAGCCCCGGGCUCAACCUGGGAACUGCAUCCAAAACUGGCGAGCUAGAGUAGGGCAGAGGGUGGUGGAAUUUCCUGUGUAGCGGUGAAAUGCGUAGAUAUAGGAAGGAACACCAGUGGCGAAGGCGACCACCUGGGCUCAUACUGACACUGAGGUGCGAAAGCGUGGGGAGCAAACAGG